UACGUAGGGUGCAGGCGUUAAUCGGAAUUACUGGGCGUAAAGCGUGCGCAGGCGGUUCGUUGUGUCGGCGGUGAAAUCCCCGGGCUCAACCUGGGAAUGGCCGUUGAAACUGGCGAACUGGAGUGUGGCAGAGGGGGGUGGAAUUCCGCGUGUAGCAGUGAAAUGCGUAGAGAUGCGGAGGAACACCGAUGGCGAAGGCAGCCCCCUGGGCUGACACUGACGCUCAGGCACGAAAGCGUGGGGAGCAAACAGG
rnacentral:rRNA from 1 species